ACCCUUGAAGAAUCCAAAGAAGCUGUAUAUGGUACCCUUGAUGCCUGGGUGGCAUGGGAGAAUAGCUUUCCAUUGGUUUCACUCAAAAAAGCUAUUCUUGUUCUUGAAAAGGAGGAACAGUGGCAUAGAGUUGUGCAGGUGAUAAAGUGGAUUUUGAGCAAAGGUCAAGGAACAACAAUGGGUACAUAUGAGCAACUAAUU